rnacentral:misc_RNA from 1 species
GGACAGAGUCGCUUGUGGAAAUGAAAACCAGAGGCGCCUCUUGGAGGCCUCUUACCGGAUUGGAGUGCAUCCCUAUUCAUUAGCAUAUGAGCUUGAAAGAGGUCAUCUUUAGCCUUCCUAAUGUCAGAAAAUCCACCCUCUUCAACGCCGUUGCUGAGAAUGGAAAAGCUCAAGCAGCUAAUUUUUCUUUCUGUACAAUAGAGGCAAAUGUAGUGACUGCUGCGGUUCCAAAUCCGUGACUCCACGUGCUUUCUGAUCUUAGCAAAUCUCAGCAAGUGUCGCAGAGUCCAUAAAAUUUGUGGAUAUUGUUGGGCUUAUGAAGGGCGCGAGUUAAGGGGAGGGCCUUGGUAAUAAGUUUUUAUUAGAUAUUCAUGAGGUUGAUUCCAUUCUUCAGCUUUACUCUGUUUUGAAAAGAAUGAUAGUGUUCAUGUGAAUGGCAAAGUUGAU